GUAUUAGGCUGGUGCAAAAGUAAUUUCAGUUUUUCUAUCACUUUCAAUGGCAAAAACUGCAAUCACUUUUGCACCAACCU
rnacentral:miRNA from 1 species